AUUGAACGCUGGCGGCAUGCCUUACACAUGCAAGUCGAACGGCAUCGCGGGAAAGCUUGCUUUCCUGGCGGCGAGUGGCGAACGGGUGAGUAACACAUCGGAACGUACCGGCUAGUGGGGGAUAACCCGUCGAAAGACGGGCUAAUACCGCAUACGCUCUUCGGAGGAAAGCAGGGGACCUUUGGGCCUUGCGCUAUCCGAGCGGCCGAUGUCCGAUUAGCUAGUUGGUGGGGUAAAGGCCUACCAAGGCGACGAUCGGUAGCGGGUCUGAGAGGACGAUCCGCCAGACUGGGACUGAGACAGGGCACAGACUCCUACGGGAGGCAGCGGUGGGGAAUCUUGGACGAUGGGGGCAACCCUGAUACAGCAAUGCCGCGUGGGUGAAGAAGGCCUUCGGGUUGUAAAGCCCUUUAGGCAGGGAAGAAAUCGGCGGGGCGAAUAACCCUGCUGGAUGACGGUACCUGCAGAAGAAGCACCGGCUAACUACGUG
rnacentral:rRNA from 1 species